ACGCCUCAGCCCGCAAAAAUACUAUUGAUCGUUUGAAAUAAUGUCGAAAUAACUUUGACCCAUCUGAAUUGAUUUAUGUUUUGAUGACGCACAGCGCUACCGUCGCUUUCGACGCCUGGACAAAACGCUGGAUGUGUAGUUUACCCUGGAUAUGCCGCUCUAGCAGUUUUGCAGCUACCCUUACACGAAUAAGACGUCCUUCGGCCGGCAUCGAUCGUCCAGAAAAAACUCAAAGAAAAUUGUUCAAGGCCUAAUCGUUCAACUUAUCCGACUUACGUGCGAUCGAUCAAAAUGGGACAUAUAAACAUUUUAUUCUACUUGUUUUACAUCAGCAUCCUCAUGGCAGUAGGGUUCAAAUUCAGUUACCGCCACCUUUGGACUUUUUUGGAACUACUGAUAAUAUGGAUGAUUGAUAGCCAACUUAUGGAGGUAUACAAACCAAGCAAC